AGAGUUUGAUCAUGGCUCAGAGCGAACGCUGGCGGCAGGCCUAACACAUGCAAGUCGAACGGACCCUUCGGGGGUUAGUGGCGGACGGGUGAGUAACACGUGGGAACGUGCCUUUAGGUUCGGAAUAGCUCCUGGAAACGGGUGGUAAUGCCGAAUGUGCCCUUCGGGGGAAAGAUUUAUCGCCUUUAGAGCGGCCCGCGUCUGAUUAGCUAGUUGGUGGGGUAAUGGCCCACCAAGGCUACGAUCAGUAGCUGGUCUGAGAGGAUGACCAGCCACAUUGGGACUGAGACACGGCCCAAACUCCUACGGGAGGCAGCAGUGGGGAAUCUUGCGCAAUGGGCGAAAGCCUGACGCAGCCAUGCCGCGUGUAUGAUGAAGGUCUUAGGAUUGUAAAAUACUUUCACCGGUGAAGAUAAUGACUGUAGCCGGAGAAGAAGCCCCGGCUAACUUCGUG
rnacentral:rRNA from 1 species